GCAGGUGUGAUGUAAUUGGCAACAUGAGGCUCUUGUAAAGCUUUCUUGCGAGUUCAAAUCUCGCCAUCUGCUC
rnacentral:tRNA from 1 species